rnacentral:rRNA from 1 species
GAUGAACGCUGGCGGCGUGCCUAAUACAUGCAAGUCGAGCGAACAGACGAGGAGCUUGCUCCUCUGACGUUAGCGGCGGACGGGUGAGUAACACGUGGAUAACCUACCUAUAAGACUGGGAUAACUUCGGGAAACCGGAGCUAAUACCGGAUAAUAUAUUGAACCGCAUGGUUCAAUAGUGAAAGACGGUUUUGCUGUCACUUAUAGAUGGAUCCGCGCCGCAUUAGCUAGUUGGUAAGGUAACGGCUUACCAAGGCAACGAUGCGUAGCCGACCUGAGAGGGUGAUCGGCCACACUGGAACUGAGACACGGUCCAGACUCCUACGGGAGGCAGCAGUAGGGAAUCUUCCGCAAUGGGCGAAAGCCUGACGGAGCAACGCCGCGUGAGUGAUGAAGGUCUUCGGAUCGUAACACUCUGUUAUUAGGGAAGAACAAAUGUGUAAGUAACUAUGCACGUCUUGACGGUACCUAAUCAGAAAGCCACGGCUAACUACGUG